UUAUGAUUCCUCUAUUUAAAACAAGACAGGAGUUUCCUAUAUUUUGAAGAGAAAUAAGAGCACCUGAAAAAAAGGGCUUGCUCCAGUGCUGUCUAUAUCCAGCCUGGCUUUCUGUGAGCUGCACGGGGAAGAAAUAUUUCCAAGACACCAGUGGUUGCCAUAUCCUGACAAGGGAUACCUGGUGCCCCUCUUCCUGCCUGUCAGAUCUAAAUGUCAGCCCUUGCUCAGUCCAUGAUUUGGAGGAAAAGCCAGAAAGGAGGAAUCCUAAACCACCUGCAUAAACCCACCUGACAGUAGUGGGAGCCUAAAGAGGUAACAUACCUUAAUCUUACCUCCUUAUUUAUUAUUUUUUUUUGCUACAAGCAUUGGCACAUGUUGAAAAGAAUAUAAAACGCACUUAAUUUUCUGUCGCUUUUAAAGGCAAAGAGCAAGAAGGAGUAGAGGUUUUCUGUACAGGUACCAAUAAGGUUGUCUCCUGACUGGAAAAUGAGGAGUCAAAGAGUCCCACGGCCUUUCUGCCCCUUACACUGAAGGGAAAACGAACCGCCUGGUCAUAGGACAAAUGUUGUCUUGGGUCACCAUCAAGAUCCUGACCUGCCUAACUGAUGUGACGCAGGGAAAGGAGGUACCUCGAUGCUCAUCAAGAGGAGAACCUCAUUACUGCAGCCUGGAGAAGCCGGAGAGGUCUCCAAAGGCUUUCUAGAGGGGUCACUCUGCAGCACCAGCACCGUUACUUGUGUCAGCCUCAGGCAAGAUCCUUCCUCUUGGGAGUGACUUUCCAACCCUCUGACCUGCCAUCAGCUCCUCGCCUGGCACCACGCACCAAAGCUGCAGGUACCUUUUAUUCCGUGCGGUCUGUCAAACCUGGUGUUUCCUCUUGGGCAAGCACCUGCUGAAACUGAAACCCAACCCAACACAUAGUUG
rnacentral:lncRNA from 1 species